UUAUGGUGCAAAAACGGGUGCGCCCGAACCAGGAAGCUCGGCGCCACGCCAGGCGCUCGCCCCGACCCCGCCUUCCUCCGCCGCCUCGCCGCAUCUGCCGGCCUCACCGGAGAUCACCGCCGCCGCGACCAGGUCACGUCGCUGCACCUGCAUUCUCCUCAUCCCUCUCAUUCCUUCCUCCCUCUCACCAUCUCUCUCUCUCCCUCUCAUUGCAGCGGCGCCAUGGCCGCCCCGAGCUUCGCCGGCAGCCGCGUCGCCUGCCUCCGGCCACGACUCUGGCGGGAUCCAUCCGCCCCUGCCCGGAUCCGCAUCCUCCGCUCCGCCGUGCCCCCGAUCCGGCCACCACCAAGCCUCCCGCAUUGAUCCGCCCGUCCACCGGCCUCCCCCUGCUCGAUUCGGUUUGACGAGCGAAGUUAAAUGUCUUGUGGUGUCGAGGAUAAUAGUUUUUUUAGCUCCCGCAUGGUGAGUUGAGGAGGUUCUAUUUAGUUUUUGAUCUGACGUGAGCGAUUCCUGUAUGGAAUUGGUAGAUCUUUGUGAAAAUUCGUACAUAUCUCAGUGCUCUGCGUUCUACUCCUGUAUGGAGUACUUGUUACUGUCGCUUUAGUCCUUUCAUUCUUUGAUCCUUAAAUGUGAGUUGCUGCGGUGAAUUAACAGCUCAUUGGUGAAUCCAUGAAUCGGCGAUGAUGAAUUAGCAACUUGAUCUCUGAACUUCAGGUGAUAUGAUGCGGCUGGUUCCGGCUUCUGUGCUCUUCUGAAGGUGAACACAUGCCAGGAAGGAAAGCUUGUCUGGUCGUGGCGCGGCAUAGGAUGGAUUGAUGGUUGCUUCCUUUCGAACCACACAAACCCCUUCUAGCAUGGUCGAGAUGAUCAAAAUGGAGGAGGGUAUCAGUAUGUGGCUGUUUGUUUCCUUGGUACUGAAAUGCUAUCAAGCAGCUGGCUUCAGUGGCGGAGCUUCCUGUAGACCAACAGACACCACAAGACAUCAUAAUGACCUGCAGGUUAGGGAGGAGGGUCGGGGCAACCACGAAUUCCGUCCUGCACUGCUUCAACACCGGCCUAUUCUAGCAUGAAUCUUCUACCGUAAGGAUUUGAUGCAGCAAGGGCCAUUUGUUUGACAGAAAUAGAGUUGUUACCGCAAGAGGUACAAAUCAAGGACCGAGGAGGGACGAGUGCGGAUUUGAUCUAAGUUGGGUUACUUUCUAUGAAUAGAUGGUGUGAUUGCUUUGUCAUUUCAUUUAAUUAAUAGAAAAUUGAUGAGGCAAUUGGAAGAAUCGAGCAGCAAUUUUACUACAGAUCUGCACCAUUGAUUUGGUCAUCUCUGUCAGUAGCAAGUUGCAUAAGAAAGGGUGGUGGCGUUGCAGAGGCGUGAAUGAAAAAGUUAGUCUGGGAUACAAUUAUAAUUGUGAGUCCCUCAAUUAUAGAGCGGAUCCAGGUGAAAGAUGUAGGUGGUGUGUGGAUUGAACUCUAGAUCGGGAACCUGCAGUACUAGAUGGACGAUAACUAUGCUUACAAUUGUUGAUCGAGAACUGUGAGAUUGUCUGUUCUUACAGGAAACAUCUACAAACAGCCGUUAUUCGUUAUUGUGCUCUUCCAUGUUGCGCCGCUGACAAGAGGAUGGAGGGUUUUAGUCGUCGUCGCGGAGAAGAAGGGUAACCACCAAGCAGGAGAGGGAGGAAAGCUAUGCCCGUUCGCUGGAAGCCAGGCAACCCGGCGCCAUCGUCGCGGAGAGCGAGGAGGGGCUAGAUUGCGCCGCCAUAGAGGUGAGCUAUGAGGGGCUGCGGCGUCCCUGCAUAGGAGGGGGGAGAGAAGCCGCCACCACACCACGUGAUUCUACUUGAAACUCCUCGGAGCUUGCACCAGGCUCAAGCGUGAGUCCACUGAUCUUCAUAUUCAGGCUGCAACAUUUUCUGAAUUUUAAGUUUGGCUGAAGAUGCUCUUACUCGUACACUAGAUCAACUGUACAAAUUGCUCUAAAUGUACUGCUUGACUGCUUGUCUUUAUUUUAAUCAUUUUCUUUGGCAGCUCUAAA